UACGAGGGGGGCAAGCGUUGUUCGGAAUUAUUGGGCGUAAAGGGCGCGUAGGCGGUGCGGUAAGUCACCUGUGAAAACUCUGGGCUCAACUCAGAGCCUGCAGGCGAAACUGCCGUGCUUGAGCACGGUAGAGGCAGAUGGAAUUCCCGGUGUAGCGGUGGAAUGCGUAGAGAUCGGGAAGAACAUCAGUGGCGAAGGCGGUCUGCUGGGCCGUUGCUGACGCUGAGGCGCGACAGCGUGGGGAGCAAACAGG
rnacentral:rRNA from 1 species